rnacentral:tRNA from 1 species
GGAAAUGUGCCCGAGCCAUUAAGGAUUACUUUGAUAGAGUAAACUACAGAGAUUAACCUCUCUCAUUUCCU